UACGAAGGGGGCGAGCGUUGUUCGGAAUUACUGGGCGUAAAGGGCGCGCAGGCGGCCUUAGAAGUCAGAUGUGAAAGCCCCGGGCUCAACCUGGGAAUGGCAUUUGAUACUCUGAGGCUGGAGUACGGGAGAGGAGAGUGGAAUUCCCAGUGUAGAGGUGAAAUUCGUAGAUAUUGGGAAGAACACCGGUGGCGAAGGCGGCUCUCUGGACCGUAACUGACGCUGAGGCGCGAAAGCGUGGGGAGCAAACAGGAUUAGAUACCCUGGUAGUCCACGCCGUAAACGAUGUGCGCUAGACGUUGGAGGACCUAGUCCUCCGGUGUCGCAGCCAACGCGAUAAGCGCACCGCCUGGGGAGUACGGCCGCAAGGUUAAA
rnacentral:rRNA from 1 species